GUCGUGAGAUGUUGGGUUAAGUCCCGCAACGAGCGCAACCCUCGUCCCUAGUUACCAGCGGGUCAUGCCGGGCACUCUAGGGAGACUGCCGGUGUCAAACCGGAGGAAGGUGGGGAUGACGUCAAGUCAUCAUGGCCCUUACGUCCAGGGCGACACACGUGCUACAAUGGCCGGUACAGAGCGUCGCCAACCCGCGAGGGUGCGCCAAUCGCCAAAAGCCGGUCUAAGUUCGGAUUGCAGUCUGCAACUCGACUGCAUGAAGCCGGAAUCGCUAGUAAUCGUGGAUCAGCCACGCCACGGUGAAUACGUUCCCGGGCCUUGUACACACCGCCCGUCACGCCAUGGAAGCUGGGGGGACCUGAAGCCGGUGGGCUAACUCGCAAGAGAGGCAGCCGUCAAAGGUCAAUUCAGUGACUGGGGCGAAGUCGUAACAAGGUAGCCGUAGGGGAACCUGCGGCUGGAUCACCUCCUUUCUGGAGAUCUCGAGUAGUCGCCGACCGGAUGUGGCGCACGAAAGAGUCUCGGAAGUCGCCCGCACUCUCUCAUUUCCAGCUCGCUUUACUUGUUUCCGCUCUUUGACAACCGAGGGAUGGAUGGUUGUGUCCGGGCCGCAAGGCUCGGACGGGUGUGAGGAAUCAACACCAGUUGCGCGAUCCUAUCGCAUGGAAAGCGCAACAUUCGAAAUUGAGAUCAAACGCAAUAAGGCACACGGUGGAUGCCUUGGCAUCGAGAGGCGAUGAAGGGCGUGAUAAGCUGCGAUAAGCCUGGGGGAGCUGCACAUGAGCCGUGAUCCCAGGAUGC
rnacentral:sRNA from 1 species